rnacentral:rRNA from 1 species
UGGGGAAUAUUGCACAAUGGGCGCAAGCCUGAUGCAGCCAUGCCGCGUGUAUGAAGAAGGCCUUCGGGUUGUAAAGUACUUUCAGUCGGGAGGAAGGUGGUAAGGUUAAUAACCUUAUCAAUUGACGUUACCGACAGAAGAAGCACCGGCUAACUCCGUGCCAGCAGCCGCGGUAAUACGGAGGGUGCAAGCGUUAAUCGGAAUUACUGGGCGUAAAGCGCACGCAGGCGGUUGAUUGAGUCAGAUGUGAAAUCCCCGGGCUUAACCCGGGAAUUGCAUCUGAUACUGGUCAGCUAGAGUCUUGUAGAGGGGGGUAGAAUUCCAUGUGUAGCGGUGAAAUGCGUAGAGAUGUGGAAGAAUACCGGUGGCGAAGGCGGCCCCCUGGACAAAGACUGACGCUCAGGUGAGAAAGCGUGGGGAGCAAACAGG